UUUUCUUCCCCUUACAAGUUUCUCCUUGUUAAAACAGAACUGAAAAUUCUAUGCUUUGGUCACAGUUAAUCCCCUUGGAAGUGGUACACUGGAAGUGAACUGGCAAGUUCGAGAACUCACAGCAAUGCUGACAAGUAUUUUCUCUGCAACAUCUAAAUGUGACUGUUCUGUAGAUCUGAGGAGAAUGAGGAUACUCGCAGACACCUCAAGUACUGGGUGGGAGAAGAAUCUAUGGGGCUUACACUGGAGUUUAUCCUACAUGAAAGUCAUCCUGUGCAUAUAGAUUGUUAACGCAAUUUCACUUGUGAAUGGGGUCGGUGGUCAUAUAAAAUCAAAUAACUUUAAGGGCCCUUCUGUGAAAUGGGGGAAGACAAUAUCUCCACUCUCAGCGUUUCUUAUUAACCUGUAGCUCUUUGUAUAUUGUUGAAGUAAUCUCAAAAUGAGAGUGGGGGGAAGGAGAGAGAUG